rnacentral:rRNA from 1 species
GAUCCUGGCUCAGGAUGAACGCUAGCUACAGGCUUAACACAUGCAAGUCGAGGGGGCAGCAUGGUCUUAGCUUGCUAAGGCCGAUGGCGACCGGCGCACGGGUGAGUAACACGUAUCCAACCUGCCGUCUACUCUUUGGACAGCCUUCUGAAAGGAAGAUUAAUACAAGAUGGCAUCAUGAGUUCACAUGUUCACAUGAUUAAGGGUAUUCCGGUAGACGAUGGGG